GACGAACGCUGGCGGCGUGCUUAACACAUGCAAGUCGAACGGAAAGGCCCUGCUUUUGUGGGGUGCUCGAGUGGCGAGCGGGUGAAUAACACGUGAGUAACCUGCCCUUGACUUUGGGAUAACUUCAGGAAACUGGGGCUAAUACCGGAUAGGAGCUCCUGCUGCAUGGUGGGGGUUGGAAAGUUUCGGCGGUUGGGGAUGGACUCGCGGCUUAUCAGCUUGUUGGUGGGGUAGUGGCUUACCAAGGCUUUGACGGGUAGCCGGCCUGAGAGGGUGACCGGCCACAUUGGGACUGAGAUACGGCCCAGACUCCUACGGGAGGCAGCAGUGGGGAAUAUUGCACAAUGGGCGGAAGCCUGAUGCAGCAACGCCGCGUGCGGGAUGACGGCCUUCGGGUUGUAAACCGCUUUCGCCUGUGACGAAGCGUGAGUGACGGUAAUGGGUAAAGAAGCACCGGCUAACUACGUG
rnacentral:rRNA from 1 species